GGCGGAGAUGAUGUUGGAGUUGUCGCCGCUGCUGACGGCGACGAACGCGGACGCGUGUUCGAUGCCCGCCUCGGCGA
rnacentral:tRNA from 1 species